CACUGAUCCAUAUGUAUGUAUUAUGAUACAAACACUGCUAGCACAGAUAGAACAGUUAGUUAUAAAAAAUAUUUGCUGAUAAAAUGAGUUGAGGUUGCAACAUCGGGUCACAUGACCUCCAACUGGUUGGUUUUUGUGGUGCUGGCGCUCCGGUGUGUGUGAGUCAGAGAAUCUACUCCAGUCGGGCAUGGAUUACAAACGCAGGGGUAUAUAGCCAGCCAUUUUGCAAAUACGUUUUUACCAUAAUAAUAGACAAUACCUGUUUUAAACAUGGGGCAGUGUGGUAUCACCUCAUCAAAGACGGUUCUGGUUUUUCUGAACUUAAUUUUUUGGGACGAAAGCCACUGCCUGCCCUGCAGUCUACCCCAUUGAACCUUUUUAAAAUGCCACUUCUCAUACAAUACUAGCCUGGUAGCCACCAGACAGUGCACCACUAUCAAACAGGCAGCAGCAGGGAUUUUGUGCUAUGUUGGAGCCUACGUGUUCAUCACGUAUGAUGACUACGACCACUUCUUUGAAGAUGUGUACACCCUUAUCCCUGCUGUGACCAUAAUUGCAGUAGGAGGCCUCCUUUUCAUCAUCGGUCUUAUUGGAUGUUGUGCCACAAUACGAGAAAGCCACUAUGGGCUUGCAGCGUUUGUCGUCCUUCUCCUGCUGGUGUUUGUGACGGAAGUGCUUGUGGUGGUUUUUGGUUAUAUUUAUAGGUCAAAGGUUGAAGAUGAGGUCAAUCACUCGAUCCAGAAGGUGUACAAUGAGUACAAUGGCACCAACACAGAUGCUCCGAGCCGUGCCAUUGACUACGUGCAAAGACAGCUCCACUGUUGUGGGAUUCACAAUUACUCCGACUGGAGGAACACGCGCUGGUUUAAUGAGUCUCGAAACAACAGUAUACCAGUGAGCUGCUGCAAACCUAACGUCAGCAACUGUACAGGCUCUCUAGCCCAUCCUGGAGACCUCUAUCCAGAGGGUUGUGAAGCCCUUGUUGUGAAGAAACUAAAGGAGAUUAUUAUGUAUGUCAUCUGGGCUGCACUGACAUUCGCUGCAAUUCAGGUAUUUGGGAUGCUGUGUGCCUUUGUUGUGCUGUGCCGGAGGAGCCGUGACCCUGCCUAUGAACUUCUCAUGACGGGGGGAACCUACGCAUAAGGACCCUACACUCUCACACCACACCACACCACACACACACACACACACACACACACACACACACACACACACACACACACACACACCUAGGCUCGUGGCUUUGUCAGUGGAGAGUGGUUCACUGGCUUGCCCAAGUUCAGGUCUCUACUGUAAGCUGAAAAUCUCCUCUCACACAGAGUGGCUCAUACUCCACAAUGGUGAAGUGGUGAAAAACCUAUUUAUUUACAUGCUAUGUAAGUUGAUGUUUUGUUUUAGGUGUCUUAUUAAAAACGCUACAAGCCAAAUUCUAAAAUGGCGAUUUAAACACGUUUUUUGUUUAAUUUGUUGCUCUGACUACUUACCCCUUUGUUGUUUGAGGUAGACAAGGAUGUGAAUGAUGGACCUACUGUACGGAAUAAGUGGACUGAAUACUUUCCUCAUGUCUGUUUGCACUGUGUAUGGCCUUGGAAUAUUUUAUAACUAUUUAAAUCUAUCAUGUAAAUAACUGAGUUGAAGAUUUCCUUGUAUGAGGUUGCCUUGUGCUACUGCUUUGUUUGUGUCCAGAUCUCACCCUUCAACAGCACCAUUCUGUUUCUGAUAAGAAGCAGUAGAACUAUAGACCGUAGAUUAAUUACAGGCACUGGAUCGACCCACCAGGAAUGAGCAGUAACCAAAGUGCAGUCAAUUAACUGAUCUGCUUUGUAAGAAUGUGGGCAUUUGAUUCAGUGCAUAAAACAGGCUUAUUUAGGAAUAAUCCACAUGCACUGUUACUGAGCUUUUGUUGUACUUUGUGUGGAGUUGAGCACACUAUGUAGGCCUAGUUUUAAAAUUGAUUUUAGCCAUGUACAGAAACGUAAACCAGAGAAGAAUGUAAAUAGAAUGGGGUAAAACUAACAAGGAAAUAAACUGUAUAUUCCAUCCAGAA